GCCGGGCAUGGUGUGCACACCUGAAGUCCCAGCUACUCAGGAGGCUGAGGCAGGAGGAUUGCUUGAACCUGGGAGGUUGAGGUGGCAGUGAGCCAUGAUUGUGCCAUUGCACUCCAGCCUGGGCGAUACAGCAAGACUCCGAAUAAUAAUAAUACAUAUUUUGUUGAGACAGAGUCUCAGUCUAUUGCCCAGGCUGGAGUGCAGGGAUGUGAUCUCGGCUCACUGCAACCUCUGCCUCCCAGGUUCAAGCAAUUCUCUGCCUCA
rnacentral:sRNA from 1 species